GACGAACGCUGGCGGCGUGCUUAACACAUGCAAGUCGAACGGAAAGACCCUGCUUUUGUGGGUUGCUCGAUUGGCGCGCGGGUGAGUAACACGUGAGUAACCUGCCCUUGACUUUGGGGUAACUUCAGGAGACUGGGGCUCAUACCGGAUAUGAGCUCCUGCUGCAUGGUGGGGGUUGGAAAGUUUCGGCGGUUGGGGAUGGACUCGCGGCUUAUCAGCUAGUUGGUGGGGUAGGGGAUGACCACGGCUUUGACGGGUAGCCGGCCUGAGAGCGUGAACGGCGACCAUGGGACUGAGAGAGGCAGCAGUAGGCUACGUUAGGCAAUAGUGGGAAACCUGGCACAACGAGGGCAAGCGUGAGGUAGAGGCGCUCGGUGCGUGAUGCCGGCUUUCGGGGUGUAAACCGAUGUGGCCUGAGACGAAGAGUGAGUGACGGUAACGGGUAAAGAAGCACCGGCUAACUACGUG
rnacentral:rRNA from 1 species